rnacentral:rRNA from 1 species
GACGAACGCUGGCGGCGUGCUUAACACAUGCAAGUCGAACGGAAAGGCCCUGCUUUUGUGGGGUGCUCGAGUGGCGAACGGGUGAGUAACACGUGAGUAACCUGACCUUGACUUUGGGAUAACUUCAGGAAACUGGGGCUAAUACCGGAUAGGAGCUCCUGCUGCAUGGUGGGGGUUGGAAAGUUUCGGCGGUUGGGGAUGGACUCGCGGCUUAUCAGCUUGUUGGUGGGGUAGUGGCUUACCAAGGCUUUGACGGGUAGCCGGCCUGAGAGGGUGACCGGCCACAUUAGGACUGAGGGAGGGACCAGAGUCCAACGUGAGGCAGCAGUGGGAAAUAUUGCACAGUGGGCGGGAGCGUGAUGCAGCGACGCCGCGUUCGGGAAGACGGCCUUCGGGUUGUGAACCGCUUUCGCCUGAGACGAAGCGUGUGUGACGGUAAUGAGUAAAGAAGCACCGGCUAACUACGUG